AAGAAAGCUUGCUUUCUUUGCUGGCGACCGGCGCACGGGUGAGUAACACGUAUCCAACCUGCCCUUUACUCGGGGAUAGCCUUUCGAAAGAAAGAUUAAUACCCGAUGGCAUAGUGAUUCCGCAUGGUUUCAUUAUUAAAGGAUUCCGGUAAAGGAUGGGGAUGCGUUCCAUUAGGUUGUUGGUGGGGUAACGGCCCACCAAGCCUUCGAUGGAUAGGGGUUCUGAGAGGAAGGUCCCCCACAUUGGAACUGAGACACGGUCCAAACUCCUACGGGAGGCAGCAGUGAGGAAUAUUGGUCAAUGGGCGCUAGCCUGAACCAGCCAAGUAGCGUGAAGGAUGAAGGCUCUAUGGGUCGUAAACUUCUUUUAUAUAAGAAUAAAGUGCAGUAUGUAUACUGUUUUGUAUGUAUUAUAUGAAUAAGGAUCGGCUAACUCCGUGCCAGCAGCCGCGGUAAUACGGAGGAUCCGAGCGUUAUCCGGAUUUAUUGGGUUUAAAGGGAGCGUAGGUGGACUGGUAAGUCAGUUGUGAAAGUUUGCGGCUCAACCGUAAAAUUGCAGUUGAUACUGUCAGUCUUGAGUACAGUAGAGGUGGGCGGAAUUCGUGGUGUAGCGGUGAAAUGCUUAGAUAUCACGAAGAACUCCGAUUGCGAAGGCAGCUCACUGGACUGCAACUGACACCGAUGCUCGAAAGUGUGGGUAUCA
rnacentral:rRNA from 1 species